AUUGAACGCUGGCGGCAGGCCUAACACAUGCAAGUCGAGCGAGUGGCGGACGGGUGAGUAAUGUAUGGGGAACUGCCCGAUGGAGGGGGAUAACUACUGGAAACGGUGGCUAAUACCGCAUACUAUCAGAUGAACCCAUAUGGGAUUAGCUAGUAGGUGGGGUAAAGGCUCACCAAGCCGACGAUCUCUAGCUGGUCUGAGAGGAUGACCAGCAACACUGGGAAUGAGCCACGGACCGGACUCCUACGGGAGGCAGCAGUGGGGAAUAUUGCGCAAUGGGGGCAACCCUGACGCAGCCAUGCCGCGUGAAUGAAGAAGGCCUUCGGGUUGUAAAGUUCUUUCGGUAGCGAGGCGUUAACUACAGAAGAAGCACCGGCUAACUCCGUGCCAGCAGCCGCGGUAAUAC
rnacentral:rRNA from 1 species